rnacentral:rRNA from 1 species
GAAAGGGAAACGAUUGAAGUCAGUCGUACCUGCGGGUAAUCAGCCUUUUGGGCAUGAUUCUGUGGAGCGUGAGGAGUUAAACGCCUUCAUGCCUGCAUAUUCGUGUACUUUGGGUGUACUUGCCUGUGUGGUUAGUUAACAUCAAUUUUGGUUAUCAUAAAAUGGUUGGAGGAAUGUAGCUUCGAUUUCGAUUGAAGUGUUAUAGCCUUCGGCAGAUGUGAUGAUCGGGAUUGAGGAUUGCAACGGAUACCCUUCGGGGCUACCUGUCUGGUCUCUGAUCGUUGCUCUGGUGCCGAAAGCGUGCUUACGGUUAUCAAAGUCGAUGGUCAAUAGGUUAGAACGGGUUAAAUUCGUUAAGGAUGUUGACGUA